GAGGCAGCGCCGCCUGCCAGACCAGCGAGGCUGCAGACCCGGGAGGCAGGGAGCCCCUUUCGGAGCCAGCCUCGCCGGAGCCUUGCUGGGCCGAGCGCCGGGCCGAGCGGGGCGGGACGGCGGCGGGGGCUGCCCUCGCCAGAUGGCCCGCCGGAGGGCCGAGCGGAGGCGGCGGCGGCGGCGGCGGCUGCAGUAGCAGCGAGCACCCGGGAAGCCCAGCAGCCAGCGCGGCCGCAGCCGUCGAGGAAGGGCGCCGCCGCCGCCGCCGCCGCCGCUGCCGCCGCGACUGGGAGGCGGGCGCCUAAAGCGGCCGCGCAGAUGCCCCGUCCCGCCGCAGCGGGGCUUCUGCCGGGACCGGCGGGCGGCGGCGGCGGGGCGGAGGGCAGCGGCAGGUGAAGGACGCCCGCGCGCUGGGCAGCGCCACAAACCAAAGAGCGGCCAAAGCCGUUGCCGCGCUCCGCUGACGGGCCAGGCGGGAAGGCUGCUGGCUCGGGGAGCCGCCGAGGCAGCGAGCCGAGGAACCGGACCCGCCGCCCGCUGGCCCGUUCGCCUCUCGCCGGCGCUUGGAACGCUCCGCCCGGCCGCCGCUUGUGGAUUACCCGCCGCCGCCGCCGCCGCUUCUUGGAUAGUUACCUCGCCUCGCCAGCGGUCCCCGGACGGCAGCGUGGAAAAUCAGGCAGCCACCAUGCCCGACUCGCCGGCCGAUGUGAAGACGCAGCCCCGCUCCACCCCCCCGAACAUGCCCCCACCAUCACCAGCGGUCUCCCAGGGAGCCACGCGGCACCCGACCUUCACCUCAAACCCCAAUCGUGAUGCUGGGCCGCCGAUGUUUCUCCCUCGCGGCCGAUUUCAUGGCUGCCUGAAAUGGUCCAUGGUGUGUCUCUGUAAGUAAGAUGAAACAAACCCUCCGCUAGAGACCCAAAGGCCGAGCCCAGUUUGGCUUGUGCCUUCGG
rnacentral:lncRNA from 1 species